rnacentral:rRNA from 1 species
UACGAAGGGGGCUAGCGUUGCUCUGAAUCACUGGGCGUAAAGCGCACGUAGGCGGAUUCUUAAGUCAGGGGUGAAAUCCUGGAGCUCAACUCCAGAACUGCCUUUGAUACUGAGGGUCUUGAGUUCGGGAGAGGUGAGUGGAACUGCGAGUGUAGAGGUGAAAUUCGUAGAUAUUCGCAAGAACACCAGUGGCGAAGGCGGCUCACUGGCCCGAUACUGACGCUGAGGUGCGAAAGCGUGGGGAGCAAACAGG